rnacentral:rRNA from 1 species
CCUACGGGCGGCAGCAGUGAGGAAUAUUGGUCAAUGGGCGCGAGCCUGAACCAGCCAAGUAGCGUGAAGGAUGACUGCCCUACGGGUUGUAAACUUCUUUUAUAAAGGAAUAAAGUGAGGCACGUGUGCCUUUUUGUAUUUACUUUAUGAAUAAGGAUCGGCUAACUCCGUGCCAGCAGCCGCGGUAAUACGGAGGAGCAGAGCGUUAUCCGGAUUUAUUGGUUUUAAAGGUAGCUUAGAUGGGUUGUUAAGUCAGUGGUGAAAGUUUGCGGCGCAAGCGUUAAAUUGCAAUUGAUACUGGCAGUCUUGAGUACAGAUGAGGUAGGAGGAAUGUGUGGUGUAGCGGUGAAAUGCUUAGAUAUCACGCAGAACUCCGAUUGCGAAGGCAGCUUACUAAACUGCCACUGACAUUGAUGCUCGAAAGUGUGGGUAUCAAACAGGAUUAGAUACCCUUGUAGUC